UGAGGAAUAUUGGUCAAUGGGCGGAAGCCUGAACCAGCCAUGCCGCGUGCAGGACGACGGCCCUACGGGUUGUAAACUGCUUUUCCGGGGGAAGAAUAACCCCCCUGCGGGGGGGGAUGCCGGUACCCCGGGAAUAAGGAUCGGCUAACUCCGUGCCAGCAGCCGCGGUAAUACGGAGGAUCCUAGCGUUAUCCGGAUUUACUGGGUUUAAAGGGUGCGUAGGCGGGCGCUUAAGUCCGCGGUGAAAGUCUGCGGCUCAACCGUAGGAUUGCCGGGGAUACUGGGGGUCUUGGAUUCGGUCGGGGCGGGCAGAAUGCGUGGUGUAGCGGUGAAAUGCAUAGAUAUCACGCAGAACGCCGAUAGCGAAGGCAGCUCGCCGGGCCGACAUCGACGCUGAGGCACGAAAGCGUGGGGAUCAAACA
rnacentral:rRNA from 1 species